CAUGAAAUAUACCCCGUUUUUCUUCGCAUUCUUUUUUACCUUCCCCUGAUUGGGAGGCGUUUCGUCGUGUGAUAAAGAAUGCGAAGACGAACAACAAGGCCUCCCAAACCGGGAGGCCUUUUUUAU
rfam:Enterobacter sp. 638, complete genome.